rnacentral:rRNA from 1 species
UACGAAGGGGGCUAGCGUUGUUCGGAAUUACUGGGCGUAAAGCGCACGUAGGCGGACAUUUAAGUCAGGGGUGAAAGCCCAGAGCUCAACUCUGGAACUGCCUUUGAAACUAGAGGACUUGGGUACGGGAGAGGUGAGUGGAAUUCCGAGUGUAGAGGUGAAAUUCGUAGAUAUUCGGAAGAACACCAGUGGCGAAGGCGGCUCACUGGCCCGUUACCGACGCUCAGGCGCGACAGCGUGGGGAGCAAACAGG